rnacentral:rRNA from 1 species
UACGGAGGGGGCUAGCGUUGUUCGGAAUUACUGGGCGUAAAGCGCGCGUAGGCGGCUUUGUAAGUUAGAGGUGAAAGCCCGGAGCUCAACUCCGGAAUUGCCUUUAAGACUGCAUCGCUAGAAUCAUGGAGAGGUGAGUGGAAUUCCGAGUGUAGAGGUGAAAUUCGUAGAUAUUCGGAAGAACACCAGUGGCGAAGGCGACUCGCUGGACAAGUAUUGACGCUGAGGUGCGAAAGCGUGGGGAGCAAACAGG